UGGCAGCACAUGCUAGUAUACUAAAAUUGGACCGAUACAGAGGUUAGCAUGAUCCCUGUGCAAAGAUGGCACACAAAUUUGUGAAGCAUUCUGUAUAUAU
rnacentral:snRNA from 1 species